GCCCGCCUAGCUCAAUCGGCCAGAGCGUCAGACUUUUACGAAGGCGUAGGCAUCUGAAGGCUGCGAGUUCGACCCUCGCGGUGGGCU
rnacentral:tRNA from 1 species